rnacentral:rRNA from 1 species
CCUACGGGCGGCAGCAGUGGGGAAUAUUGGGCAAUGGACGCAAGUCUGACCCAGCAACGCCGCGUGAAGGAAGAAGGCUUUCGGGUUGUAAACUUCUUUUAAGGGGGAAGAGCAGAAGACGGUACCCCUUGAAUAAGCCACGGCUAACUACGUGCCAGCAGCCGCGGUAAUACGUAGGUGGCAAGCGUUAUCCGGAUUUACUGGGUGUAAAGGGCGUGUAGGCGGGACUGCAAGUCAGAUGUGAAAACCACGGGCUCAACCUGUGGCCUGCAUUUGAAACUGUGGUUCUUGAGUACUGGAGAGGCAGACGGAAUUCCUAGUGUAGCGGUGAAAUGCGUAGAUAUUAGGAGGAACACCAGUGGCGAAGGCGGUCUGCUGGACAGCAACUGACGCUGAGGCGCGAAAGCGUGGGGAGCAAACAGGAUUAGAUACCCCAGUAGUC